rnacentral:rRNA from 1 species
CAGUCGCCACGGUAAUACGUAGGUCCCGAGCGUUGUCCGGAUUUAUUGGGCGUAAAGGGAGCGCAGGCGGUUUAGUAAGUCUGAAGUUAAAGGCAUUGGCUCAACCAAUGUAUGCUUUGGAAACUGUUAGACUUGAGUGCAGAAGGGGAGAGUGGAAUUCCAUGUGUAGCGGUGAAAUGCGUAGAUAUACGGAGGAACACCGGUGGCGAAAGCGGCUCUCUGGUCUGUCACUGACGCUGAGGCUCGAAAGCGUGGGUAGCGAACAGGAUUAGAUACCCGCGUAGUCCCUGUCUCUUAUACA